rnacentral:rRNA from 1 species
CAUGGCCGUCGUCAGUUCGUACUGUGAAGCAUCCUGUUAAGUCAGGCAACGAGCGAGACCCACGUCCACAGUUGCCAGCAUACCCUCCGGGGUGAUGGGUACACUGUGGAGACCGCCGCUGCUAAAGCGGAGGAAGGAGUGGGCAACGGUAGGUCAGUAUGCCCCGAAUCUCCCGGGCUACACGCGGGCUACAAUGGUUGGUACAAUGGGCAUCUACCCCGAAAGGGGAAGGAAAUCUCUUAAAGCCAAUCGUAGUUCGGAUUGAGGGCUGCAACUCGCCCUCAUGAAGCUGGAAUCCGUAGUAAUCGCGUUUCAACAGAACGCGGUGAAUACGUCCCUGCUCCUU